GCGAGCUGUGGCGCCCGAGCUGGAAUAUCGUGCUUUUCCUUAGCGUGCCCGUGCUUUGAGCAGGAAUCUGAGAUGGAAUGUGAGCCCAGAGCCAACCCUACUGAUGACAGAGAGUCUGAUCUAGAGAAUACAGUAAGCCUGUGACAUCUGGAACGUGUCCUUCUAUAACACAACACAGGUUCUGGCAGAGGCUAAACUGGAUUAUGCAGCAUAUGCUGGAUUUCCCUCAGUAUGUAUGCCCUUGCAAAGAGGUGUGAUCGGCAAGCACCAAAGUUGACAGGCAUCUGUCUGAGUUUGAUGUGGAAAUGAGGAUGAGAACAGAUGUGUUGUAAAGCAAGACAGUGGAUUCCUCUUUGCCCAGUGAAAGAACAUGGCACCUGCUGAAGUUGCUCUAAAGCAAGAAGGUGGCCUUCCACAGCAAGGGCACUGAAGUGUGAGGAGCACUGGAACAGCAGGGCACUGAGGUGUGAGGAGCACUGGAACAGCAGGGCACUGAGGUGUGAGGAGCACUGGAACAGCAGGGCACUGUGGUGUGAGGAGCACUGGAACAGCAGGGCACUGAGGUGUGAGGAGCACUGGAACAGCAGGGCACUGAGGUGUGAGGAGCACUGGAACAGCAGGGCACUGUGGUGUGAGGAGCAGUGGAACAGCAGGGCACUGUGGUGUGAGGAGCAGUGGAACAGCAGGGCACUGUGGUGUGAGGAGCAGUGGAACAGCAGGGCACUGUGGUGUGAGGAGCAGUGGAACAGCAGGGCACUGUGGUGUGAGGAGCAGUGGAACAGCAGGGCACUGUGGUGUGAGGAGCAGUGGAACAGCAGGGCACUGUGUGAGGAGCACUGGAACAGCAGGGCACUGUGGUGUGAGGAGUACUGGAACAACUGACUGGAUUGAGGUUGAAUAAAGCCUCGGCUGUGGCAGCCAUGCUAACUACAUGUUGGACAUGAACAUGGCCAGGAACUCCAACAAUGGCUUGCUUUUUGGUAGGUGUCUAGCCCCUUUCUCCUCGCAUCAACUUCAAUACAUUAUAUGACAGCAAGACUGUCACCUGAAUUAUGUGUUUACUUUAAGUCAAGUUAUUAAAUGGGUGGGUAGCUGUUGCAGAAUUGUUUUAAGUUUCUGUGUAAAGUUUUCAUGGUCACUAUACACUUUACAGAUAGUUAAACACCCUCAUGUUAUUAUACUUUACAGAUAGUUAAACACCUUCAUGUUAUUAUACUUUACAGAUAGUUAAACACCCUCAUGUUAUUAUACUUUACAGAUAGUUAAACACCUUCAUGUCACAGCAACCACAUGAUGCUCCCAGAACAAGCAAUCAUGUCCACCUCAUUCAUCGUCUCCUGAAUCCUGAAGGCUUUCACCUGUUAUGCCUAUUUAUCUUACCUGUUUAAUCCCACCUCUCCGCUUCCUCAUUGUGAAGUAUUGUCUCUGCCUACAUAAGCAUAUUGAUUGAAUUUGGUUUCCUGCCUCCCUGGUGUUUUGGUCUCCAUUUGCCUCUGUGCCCACACUUUUUGCCUGCUGUUGUCUAUUUUUGCUCUCUCCAUUCUGGUUUCUUGAAAUGUGCCUUUGGUUUUGCUGUUUGGAGCUGCCCCUUUGU